GAGUUUGAUCAUGGCUCAGAGCGAACGCUGGCGGCAGGCCUAACACAUGCAAGUCGAGCGGCCGUAGCAAUACGGCAGCGGCAGACGGGAGAGUAACACGUGGGAACGCGCCCUUCGGUCCGGGAUAACCCAGGGAAACUUGGGCUAAUACCGGAUACGCCCUUACGGGGAAAGAUUUAUUGCCGAAGGAACGGCCCGCGUCCGAUUAGCUAGUUGGUGAGGUAAUGGCUCACCAAGGCGACGAUCGGUAGCUGGUCUGAGAGGAUGACCAGCCUCACUGGGACUGAGACACGGCCCAGACUCCUACGGGAGGCAGCAGUGGGGAAUAUUGGACAAUGGGCGCAAGCCUGAUCC
rnacentral:rRNA from 1 species